UAGGGAAUCUUCGGCAAUGGACGAAAGUCUGACCGAGCAACGCCGCGUGAGUGAAGAAGGUUUUCGGAUCGUAAAACUCUGUUGUUAGAGAAGAACAAGGACGUUAGUAACUGAACGUCCCCUGACGGUAUCUAACCAGAAAGCCACGGCUAACUACGUGCCAGCAGCCGCGGUAAUACGUAGGUGGCAAGCGUUGUCCGGAUUUAUUUGGCGUAAAGCGAGCGCAGGCGGUUUCUUAAGUGUGAUGUGAAAGCCCCCGGCUCAACCGGGGAGGGUCAUUGGAAACUGGGAGACUUGAGUGCAGAAGAGGAGAGUGGAAUUCCAUGUGUAGCGGUGAAAUGCGUAGAUAUAUGGAGGAACACCAGUGGCGAAGGCGGCUCUCUGGUCUGUAACUGACGCUGAGGAUCGAAAGCGUGGGGAGCAAACAGG
rnacentral:rRNA from 1 species